rnacentral:lncRNA from 1 species
CAGGGUGCAAUUUCUUUCACUUCAAAGUUUUCAAAGUUGUCUUUUGGGUUUUGCACUUAUUUUGCUAGAGCACCUCAAGAGACUACAGCUGGAUGCUUGUUGAGCAAGUGAAUGCACUCGCUCAUUCCUCUGGUCAACAAACGUUUACUGAGAACCUCUUAGCAGUGGACUAAGUAUAAUAAAGUGAGAAUGAAUCCUGGCUUUUAAUUG